AACGCACAUUGCGCCCUUUGGUAUUCCAAAGGGCAUGCCUGUUCGAGCGUCAUUUGUACCCUCAAGCUUUGCUUGGUGUUGGGCGUCUUUUGUCUCUCCCUCUCUCUGGGGGAGACUCGCCUUAAAACGAUUGGCAGCCGACCUACUGGUUUUCGGAGCGCAGCACAAAUUUGCGCAUUCCAAGCCACAGGGCGGCAUCCAGCAAGCCUUUGUUGUCUACAACAAAUCCACAUUUUGACCUCGGAUCAGGUAGGGAUACCCGCUGAACUUAA
rnacentral:misc_RNA from 1 species